AGUGAGCAAAAGAAAUUGAAAACCACCCCCCCUUGUUCUCUUCUCUGUCGAACCACCACCACCUAUUGCCACCAUCAUUCUCAGCCACCCGCACCCGCACCAAACCUGUCACCGCCUCCGUCUCCGCCCAGAACCGACCGGAAAACACCUCUCAAAUCUCCCAUGUUUCCCCCUGUUUUGUGCAACCACCAUAACCCCCUUUCCCUACUAUUCCGCCGCCCGGAACCACCCCACCACCGGCGCCUCUCCGGCGCGGUACCACGCUGCUGCAUCGACCAUAACUCCGAUCACAUCCCCCCUUGCCUCCCUCACCUCCCUCACCUCCCGCGCCACUUUCUCCUCCUCACUCUCCCCUCCCUGCUUCCUCUCUCCGUCGUGCCCAGCCAUCCAAGCCGCCGUGUCUACGGCUUCUUCUGUUGUGCCUCUGCGCCGCACCGCCGUUAACAAGCCACCACACAGCCAUCGCUUUUCCCUCUCCUCUUUUUCCUCUGUUUUCGAGCCUUCCUCCCCUGCUUCUGUUCUUCGUGGCUUCGUGCCCAGUUUCACGAGAAACAAGUUCCAGUAUUGGAACUUUGUUCCUUUUUACUUCUCAAGCUGCUAAGCCCAAAACUCUUAGGCCCAAAUACCCUUAAAAAUCAGACUCGGAGCUCAGGACGAACGAACCAAGGAAAAAGGCCUAGCAAUCAUGGAAUUGAGGUACUGCGGGGAACGAUGGACACGAGUAGUGGCGAGGAACUUCACUAUUAUAUUAUUCACCUAGUUUAUGCUUAAUGUUUUAAUAGUUUAAUUAAAGACUUUUAGUAAUUUAUGUACUUAUAUUUUGGGAAUAUAAAGGAUUAUUAUAUUAGAUUUGAGGUUUUUAUGGCUUAUGUAUGAUGUUGCCUUGUAACUUCCAAAAGAGAAUUACGGCAGGUAAUGUCCCGACCAAAUUAGGUUAAUUCUGCUGCUAAUUAUGCCUUAAUAAGUGAUUUAGAGGUCGGGGCGUUACAGUUUGGUAUUCAGAGCAAAGGUUCUGGACCAUAAGUGCUAAACCUUACGGGUUUUGCGCAUAGUAGAAUUCAAUAGGCUUGAAGCAAAGAGUUUAGUUAAAAAGAAUAUGUUAAAAUCAUGUUAAGUUAAAAUGAAAUGAGUGUGAGCGUAGGAACGCACGGGAUAAAAGGGAUUCAUUUCUCCUGUUAUGUAUGUUUUCUUGAUUGAAUAUGUUAUGCGAAAUAUUGAUUAUCAAGGUACUAAUGAUGCCACGAACGAAGGUCACAUCAAGCGCAACAUUUACGAUGACGUCGCCCACAAUGAUGUUUCCCAUGACGAUUUCUAUGACGACCAAUCUAUAAGAGACCACAAGGAGAUGAUGGAACGAUUAGGAACGGAAAGUACGAUGUCAACUGAAUUAGUCAAAGAUUCUCGAAAAACGAAAGUCACUAAUGCGAACGAAAAUGCGUCACUAUUUAAGAAGUUUUCACCUCCGAAUCCACCAAUCUAUGAUCGCAAGCCGAUUCGAUGAAAUUUGAAGACUAGAUCAAUUAUAUGGAUCAACUACUCGAGACUUUCGACAUGCUCUAACGAAUGGAAGCGAAGAUCGUGCAAAAAAAAAAGAAUACUUGUUAUUGAUAUCAAGGAAAAGAUCAUUUUGUUAAAGAUUGUCCUAAACUACCUCCAACGAAUACCGGAACAUCAACCUCGACCAAUCAUGAACGAAACAACAACAAUGCUAAAUCCAUCACGCCCGUCGACAUAUGCAAGAGCUUACGUGAUAAAAGACAAAGAUGACGCCAACGCUAAUAUUAUUUUGAUUUAUCUCUCUCUCGCUUUAGAAUCGAACUUCCCUUGAUUUUAUGUUUAUCGUCACAUGUCAUGUUAUGAGUUUUCUACCCUAGAUAGACUAGGCAAAGUUUAAGUAUUAUAUUUUAAAAGAAGUUAAGUUAAGCAC